GUCCCAAUUUCUGUACAGACGAAACUCCUGGAUAAUCACCUGCUGGAUGAGCUGAGCCCCUACAUCUUGGGCAGUGGUUUUCAAACUUUGGUGUGAGUGAGAAUGCAUAUUUCCUGUUUUUAGUCUGUUCAUCUGGAAUCUUGAAUCACGGGAAGAGGACAUGUGUGUGUUUAAUCAGCUCCCUGGUAGAAUCUAAGAAUGCAGAACUUAAAAGGUGCCAUGAGGAAGACAGACAGAUAUUCGUAUUGGGCCAUGCAUCAUCAGAGAAAGAGGAGAAGUUUUGACGUUCCCAGUUUCAAGAACAAAGUUGGGAAAAGAACAGGCGUUUAAUAUAGUUCUCAAAUUUCAUUUCUGGACCCG
rnacentral:lncRNA from 1 species